rnacentral:rRNA from 1 species
GAGUUUGAUCCUGGCUCAGAUUAAACGCUGGCGGCAUGCCUUACACAUGCAAGUCGAACGGCAGCACGGGGGCAACCCUGGUGGCGAGUGGCGGACGGGUGAGUAAAGCACCGGAACGUAUCCUGGAGUGGGGGAUAACGUAGCGAAAGUUACGCUAAUACCGCAUAUUCUGUGAGCAGGAAAGCAGGGGAUCGCAAGACCUUGCGCUCUGGGAGCGGCCGAUAUCGGAUUAGCUAGUUGGUGGGGUAAAGGCCUACCAAGGCGACGAUCCGUAGCGGGUCUGAGAGGAUGAUCCGCCACACUGGGACUGAGACACGGCCCAGACUCCUACGGGAGGCAGCAGUGGGGAAUUUUGGACAAUGGGCGCAAGCCUGAUCCAGCCAUGCCGCGUGAGUGAAGAAGGCCUUCGGGUUGUAAAGCUCUUUCGGCGGGGAAGAAAUUGCACGGGUUAAUACCCUGUGUAGAUGACGGUACCCGAAUAAGAAGCACCGGCUAACUACGUG